rnacentral:lncRNA from 1 species
CUAAUUUAUUUUAUUAAUAUUUGUUCUUAAUGUAUAAAUAAAAGUUAAGAACAAAAAAUAGUAAAUAAAAUCUUUUCUUACAUGUAAAGUUUAUAUCUCAUCAAUAUUCCUUCCACCUCCCAUUGCUAAUCAUCAGAUGGAAUGGUUGUUACCCGUGUUGUACCCAUUCCAUGUUGAUGGAAUGGGGGCUACCCAUGUGAUUAACAACUGCAGUAAUGACCCAAUCAGUUUUUGCGUAUUGUACAAAAGCCGAACCUUUUCUGCUGAUGUCAAAACCUUUUUUAUCAUAGACUGUAUCUUCUAUCUAAUAUAUAUAGUCUUAUGUAAUAAUAUACAUUUUAUAACACACACACACAAUUAUUUAAAUUACAUCAUAAAUCAUUAUAUAAUUUAAAAUUAUAAUAACAAUAUAUAAUUUAUACAUCUAGAC